rnacentral:ncRNA from 1 species
ACUUUUCUGCCACCGGGUAGAGAAGAUAUGCGUCAGACUUUCUAUCGUUAGGUCUUAGAAGAUAGAGGGUGCUGGCGCUUUUUUUGA